GAUGAACGCUGGCGGCGUGCCUAAUACAUGCAAGUCGAGCGAACGGACGAGAAGCUUGCUUCUCUGAUGUUAGCGGCGGACGGGUGAGUAACACGUGGAUAACCUACCUAUAAGACUGGGAUAACUUCGGGAAACCGAAGCUAAUCCCGGAUAUUAUUUUGAACGGCAGGGUUCAAAAGUGAAGGCCGUUCUUGCUGUACUUUAUAGAUGGAUCCGCGCUGCAUUAGCUAUUUGGUAAGGUAACGGCUUACCAAGGCAACGAUGCAUAGCCGACCUGAGAGGGUGAUCGGCCACACUGGAACUGAGACACGGUCCAGACUCCUACGGGAGGCAGCAGUAGGGAAUCUUGCGCGAUGGGCGAAAGCCUGACGGAGCAACGCCGCGUGAGUGAUGAAGGUCUUCGGAUCGUAAAACUCUGUUAUUAGGGAAGAACAUAUGUGUAAGUAACUGUGCACAUCUUGACGGUACCUAAUCAGAAAGCCACGGCUAACUACGUG
rnacentral:rRNA from 1 species